rnacentral:tRNA from 1 species
GGGGCGUAGCUCAGUUGGCAGAGCAACGGACUUUUAAUCCGUAGGUCACAGGUUCGAAUCCUGUCGCCCU